ACAAAAACCAAAAAACCAAUACUCCAACAUAGUAACAUUUCUGAAAACAAAACCAAAAGCAAGCAGCAGCCAGAAUCAUAGGGAGGGGCAACCCUCUGCCCUAGCAGAGCCGCAGAAGACCGACAGCUGACUCUUUGAAUGGAAGAAUAGAAAUCAGAAGGAAAUGGAACUGCCGUCUUUGAUUGCUGAAAGAAAACAACUGCUCAUUGUGUUUUGUAUCUAAGAUUCUCCAAGAAUGAAAAAAAAAAAGAAGUCAAUGUUAUUAAAGGGUGAUUGUAUGCUAAUCUGUACUAACUAGAGGGUAUCUGUUGGAUAGAAGGAAUAUUGUUCCAGAUGAAUGCUGUGAGAUACAGGAAGGAAUGAAGAGCAAGAGAAACAACAGUUAGUUAAAUGUAAGUAGAUAUUGACUGUAUAAAUGAUGAUAAUUGAGCCCUGUGGAGCUUCAAAUAGACAGAGACGGCACAAGAUGGCAGUACAGAUUUCCAAGAAGUGGAAGUUUGUGGCCCAUGGCAUCUUCAAAGCUGAACUGAAUGAGUUGCUCACUCGGGAAUUGCCUGAGGAUGGCUACUCUGGAGUCGAAGUCUGAGUUACACCAACUAGAACAGAAAUCAUUAUUUUAGCCACCAGAACACAGAAUGUUCUUGGUGAGAAGGGUCAUCAGAUCAGAGAGUUGACUGCGGUAGUCCCGAAGAGGUUGGGCUUCCCUGAGGGCAGCGUAGAACUUUAUGCAGAAAAAGUGGCCACAAGAGGUCUGUGUGCCAUUGCUCAGGCAGAGUCUGUACAUUACAGACUCCUAGGAGGGCUUGCUAUGUGAAGGGCCUGCUAUGGUGUGCUUAGGUUCAUUAUGGAGAGCGGGGCCAAGGACUGCAAGGUUGUGGUGUCUGGGAAGCUCUGAAGACAGAGGGCCAAGUCCAUGAAGUUUGUGGAUGGGCUGAUGAUCCACAAGUGGAGAGACCCUGUUAACUACUAUGUUGACACUGCUGUGUGCCAUGUGCUCCUGAGACAAAGUGUGCUGGGCAUCAAAGUGAAGAUCAUGUUGUCCUGGGACCCAAGUGGUAAGAUCUGCUCCAAGAAGCCUCUGCCUGAUCACGUGAGCAUUGUGGAACCUAAAGACGAAAUCUUGCCCACCACCCCCAUCUCAGAGCAGAAGGGUGGGAAGCCAGACGCACCUGCCAUGCCCCAGCCAGUGCCUACAGCGUAACAGGAUCCUGGCAGCUGCAUCUGGAGGCUGGAUGUUGUCCUGCACAAACAGAUGUUUAAUAAAAUCUUGCACAAAGACAAAAAAAAA